AUGACCGAUCUGUCCUCCAAGUAGGAGCCGA
rnacentral:sRNA from 1 species